AUCCCAUGAUGAGGAUAGGCGGCCACGUACUCCUGCAUACAUUCCCAUGCUUCCAGAAUAGACUCGUUCCUUGUCUGCUGGAAACUUGAAAUCCUUCCACGAAGGGC
rfam:Oryza glumipatula chromosome 8, whole genome shotgun sequence.